ACGAACGCUGGCGGCGUGCUUAACACAUGCAAGUCGAACGGUGAAGCGCCUUCCUUUUUGGUGGGUGUGGAUGAGUGGCGAACGGGUGAGUAACACGUGAGUAACCUGCCCCCUUCUUCUGGAUAACCGCAUGAAAGUGUGGCUAAUACGGGAUAUUCUGGGUCUGUCGCAUGAUGGGUCUGGGAAAGAUAUUGUUUCGGUGGGGGAUGGGCUCGCGGCCUAUCAGCUUGUUGGUGGGGUGAUGGCCUACCAAGGCGGUGACGGGUAGCCGGCCUGAGAGGGUGGACGGCCACACUGGGACUGGGACACGGCCCAGACUCCUACGGGAGGCAGCAGGGGGGAAUAGUGCACAAUGGGCGCAAGCCUGAUGCAGCGACGCCGCGGGAGGGAUGGAGGCCUGCGGGUUGUGAACCUCUUUCGCCAGUGAAGCAGGCCUGCCUCGUUUGUGGGUGGGUUGACGGUAGCUGGAUAAGAAGCGCCGGCUAACUACGUG
rnacentral:rRNA from 1 species